UCAAAAGGAACUUGCGAAACCAUACCUAUUGGAAGCAUUGAUAAUAGGCUUCUGCCCUCUUUGUGAUGAUCUUCAUCUUAUGAUCUGAUAUAUUCUUCAUCUGUGCGAAGAGGAUGAUUAGUGCCAUUGAAAACAUAACGACCUUCAUGACGUAUCCCAGAAACUUUACACUUGGAACAAGGCUGGCAGGACACAUGACUACAAUGAUUCAGAAUAAAAGCUCGAGCUGGAAAAUAUUGGAAUCGCAUGGCUUAUGCGCACCUUUAUAAAUUCCAACUACUAUAGGCCUUGCAUAUUGUAUAUUUGCAAUUCUACAUUGGAUGGGCCAGAUCUGAAUGCUACCUGACUUAUCUAAACUACAUCCGUCUAUAUUGAAAUCUAGUUCCAAUUGAUUAACAGUAGAUGCGAUAGAAAUAUUUGAAAGAUAUUUAAUAAUUCCUGCUUCCACAUCAAAAUGAAUAUACUCUCCUGGUUCUACACGAGACACGACAGCACAUGUACGUGGUGUAUCAAGAAGCGUUCUAACAUCUUUCGGUAAUUUAUUAAAACAGGGAUGUGUACGAAGAAGAGAUAAUAUACUAUUACCUUGCAUAUGCGUUAUAUUAUUAUUUACGAAGCAAGACGCUAAACGUUUACGGAAAGAUGAUCCCAUAGAAGUAAUUUUGAAGGAUGAAACUAUAUACUGGCAUCAGAGACAGAAAAAGAAACCCCAUCAUCUUCUACAUUAAUAUCACGCCUGUAAUUGCAAGUAUCAUUUAUAAUAUCUGAAAAAGAGCUAUAACAUUCAGUAAUUGAUGGACCAGGAGCAUCUUGAAUAUCACGAUCAUUCUUCGACUCUGUAAUGGCAGUUUUGCAUUUUAAACGAUAUUGUAAACGUAAAUUUUGUCUAACUUCGUACAUGAUUCGACUUCGUUGCCUUAUGGAUAAACUGUACAACGAUUUUCGCGACAUAGUUGAUUUUAAUUUUGUUGUUUUCAUAUUUACGUGUUUUCUCGACGAUAUUGCUGCAAGCGACGUAAUCUCUGCUGAAUAUCCUGCAAUAUCACACUCUAAUCUUUUCAAUAUUCUUCGUUCACUAUCGUUUAUUGCUACACACUGUACACCACUUACCACUGCAACGACUGAACUAAGAAUGAUCGAGGUUCACAUCCUGCACAAUAACGGUUUUUCGCUUUUUUUUUCUCUAUCGAGCGAAUAUACAUCCAUGUCAUUUCAAGAUCUCAAACAGCACAUAAUAUUUAUAUAUAUGAUAAAUAUUUAUAAAU